GGGCACCUGGCUGGCUCAGUUGAUGGAGCAUGUGGCUCUCGAUCUCGGGGGUUAUCUAGAAAAAAAAAUGCUGUGAAUGGUGCAAGUUUUCAUGCCCUCCACAUCUGGCAGUUUCCUCCCAAGCCCUUUCUGGAAAUAUUGUACUCCACCUCUCAGAAAUGUCUCAUCCUCCAGCCACACACCUCGUAGUCUUCCAGCUCAGUGAAGUCAGAGGGAAAGGAGCGAUUUCCUGUUUGCUGCCAGAAGUCCAGUGGUCCUGUGAAGGCCUGCGAUUCAACUGCCUGCAGCUGGCAUGAAGACAGCAUCCUCAGAAGCAAUCCCAGAGGAAAUAGGACCUGUUUGCCGGACGUGCCCAGAGAAGGUGCUGCAGGAAAUAAAGGAGAUCUCAGGCUACGGGGCUGCUCAAGCUGCAUUGCAAUGAAGAAGAUAUUCACUUCAGGAUACAGAUGAGAAAACUGGGAUUUAGAGAUACCAAGCAGCAUACCCAAGACACAAUUAGUGUGGCACGAAGCAAAGAUUCAAACCUAGGCUCUGCUCACCAAACCACAGCAUUUCCGAUGAUUAGGAGUGGUAGACUUCAUUGUUUGCAAUGGCAAGGGCUUGGAGUAGAAAUUAAAUCCUGAAACACUGCAUGCUUGAGGUCAGUGACACCUGAUCAUUCAUAAUGUAUGUGGGGAAUGUCUGAAAGACCAAGAAAGAGCUCCUAAGAAAGAAAAUCAUAUUGGACAACACGAUGGAUGGCAUCAUGAAGUUGCAGCAAUUCUAACGUUAGCACGACAAUAUGUAUGUUACAUAUCAUCAGAACACCCGUGACACUG